ensembl:snRNA U6 U6 spliceosomal RNA
GUGCUUCCUUUGGCAGCACAUAUAUGACUUGGAACAGUAUGGAGAAGAUAAGCAUGGCCACUGUGCAAAGGUGACAUGCAAAUUUGUGAAGCGUUCCGUAGUUUU